rnacentral:rRNA from 1 species
UACGAAGGGUCCAAGCGUUGUUCGGAAUCAUUGGGCGUAAAGCGCGCGCAGGCGGAUCAGAAAGUCAGAUGUGAAAUCUCGAAGCUCAACUUCGAAACUGCGUCUGAAACUUCUAGUCUAGAGUGUCGGAGGGGGUAGGGGAAUUUCAGCGUGUAGGGGUAAAAUCCGUAGAGAUGUGAAGGGAACACCGGAGGCGAAGGCGCCUACCUGGACGACUACUGACGCUGGAGGCGACGAAAGCGUGGGGAGCAAACAGG